AUCUUUUUUGUAGUUCAUAAAUGCGAUGAUUGGGUUUUCAUGUUUAUGUGUGAGAUGUGCCUCCCUCAAACCUUGUUAUGAUGUCAGUAAGUCACCCAUCUGAUG
rnacentral:snoRNA from 1 species